GUUAGAAGGUUGGACAAAAGAAGAGGAGAAGUAGAAAAAAAAAUCAACAAAGGCCCAAGUCAGCAACAACCUACUUACUUGAUCAUUCUGAGUUGGGGUUAUGGUCUUGUGUCACCAUAGAUGGUUGUAUGCAUAACUGGGACUGAGAAGCACCACACAAGCCCCAAGUGAGCUAGCCAUUCUGACUGUAGUGAGAUGGGAUACAGGAGUAGUUUAAACCUGCAUUCAUGCGUUCAUCAGUGUUUCUUAAUAGAUGGCUUCAGCCCCUUUGCUGGAAAGGACCAGGCAUGUGACUAUGCAAAGCAUUCAGGUCCUGGAACUCUUGUCUUCUUCAUUCAUAAAGACAAUUCUUGGAGUUUAUUAAUUAAUUAACUCUUAAUGUUAUCUGAAGUAUUUCAAAAUGGCCUCCCUCAAAAAGAGAUGAUUUGUGCAUGUUCAGUGUCCUAGAGGAUGACGUCAUGGGAACGCUUAUUGUCAAAUGAAAAGAUAUUCCAAACACAACAGCAUCUGUGACUUAUGAUUAUCUUAAAUGAAUGCAUUUAAUCUUGGAAAUAUUUGGUACACCAUAUGCUUGAAAUCAAAACUGAAGAAAAAUCCAAAAAUCAAGAUGGAUUUCUUCCAAAGGUUAAAACAACUUCUCCCUCCUCCACAACAAAAGCAAAAAUCUCUGAAAUCAUAGGGGAUGCUGAGAAGAUCAAGAGAUGGCAGGGGCGUGCCUCAGUUUGAUCAUCAGCAAAAUGGAGAGGAAAGUGCUUCUAAAAUUAUUUUUAAAGAUUCAUUUUCAUUUGUGUCCACAUGUCUCUAUGAACGUAUGCAGUGUAUGAGGGCGGGUGCCAUCUGGGUUCAGAAGAGGGAGUCAGAUUCUCUUCGAGUGGAAGUUCCAGGCAGUCAUGAGCAUCUUGAUGUGGAUGUUGGGAGUAGAAGAACUCCAGUCCUCUGGAAGACCAGCAAGUGCUCUGAAAUCACUGAGGCAUCUCUCUAGUACAAAAGUGCCUUUUAAAAAAACAAUUAAAAAUUUUACCCU